rnacentral:snRNA from 1 species
AUGCUCACUCGCAGCACAUAUACUAAAUUGGAAUGAUACGGAGAGAUUAGCAUGACCCUGUGCAAGGUUGACAUGCAAAUUUGUGAAGUGUUCCAUAUCUUG